rnacentral:tRNA from 1 species
GAGGCUGUAGCUCAGUGGUAAAUUGCUUGCCUUGCAUGUAUAAAUGGUAAAGUGCUUGCCUUGCAUGUGUGAAGCACUGGGUUCAAUCCUCAGCACCACA